CCUCUGUACGUCUUCCAUUUGACUUCCUCUUCAUCUAUGUUCUGCGCCGCUCCUCGUUCUACCCUCUGCUUCGCUCACUCCCGUGCUCCACCGCUUCCCUCGCUUCCUUCUCUUCUACUCCGUUGUUCGUUGCCACCUUCAUCGCGCGCUGCAGGCUCCAUCCGUGCUUCCCACAGUACGCUCGCCACAGUCCCCUGCCAAAAUUGCCUCCGCGAGACUGUGACGCCGGUGCUCUCCUGUUUUGGGCCUCGGCUCGGCUGUUGCUAUACUUCAGCUGUCGUGUGCCUGGUCGCGUCAAGCUAAUUGUGCCCUGCACGGCUGCACGUGUCCUGCGUUUCAUAGCCUCGUCCUGAUUUUGUGCUCAUGAUGCCACUUAAUUUUAAUUGGGUACCCACCUAUUGUGAGUGCCUGCUUCCCUGAUGCUCUGCUCCGUUGGUUUUUAUGUGCGCCUAUGUUCCUACCUCAGCUGGAUGAGGACCCCUCUGCCUAAAACAGAGGCAGCAAAAAGGGAUAUUUGUUUGUCGAAACGUCAAAAAAAAUUGCAAGCCUCUUCUUCCUUGAAAUCUCAAAAAAAAAAAGAGGCCGGCAACCUCGUGUUGUCUUGUUUUGCCUGACGGGAAAAAUCUAUUUUUGCUAUGCGAUGCUUUUUUUAUGUCAUCUUGUUCUCCCUCAUUUAUUCCUUAUUAGCACAUAUCUAAUGAUUGUUCUCCCU